rnacentral:rRNA from 1 species
UACGUAGGGGGCAAGCGUUGUCCGGAAUCAUUGGGCGUAAAGAGCGUGUAGGCGGCCAGAUAAGUCCGCUGUGAAAUCUCGAGGCUCAACUUUCGAGCUGAUCGGUGAAACUGUCUGGACUAGAGUCCGGAAGAGGAGAAUGGAAUUCCUGGUGUAGCGGUGAAAUGCGCAGAUAUCAGGAAGAACACCCGUGGCGAAGGCGGUUCUCUGGGACGGUACUGACGCUGAGACGCGAAAGCGUGGGGAGCGAACAGG